AAACAACACUGUUUGGCAAUGAGAAAGGAUCUGAAUUACCAGUGGUGUGACGACUACUGCCCGGAACUUCAUGGCUACAUAUGUGAAAGAGCGAUGAAUGACGGCUCGGACCUAAUAGGCUAACCAUCUCAUGAAAUAUGAAAUCCACCUUUCACUGGAAAAUCAAUCACUGUAUUUCUUAUUAUUGCAAUAAAUUCAAGAAUGACAA